UCCACAAUUCUUUUGAGGUGAAGGCUAGUGCUAUUGUGAGAGUGUGUGGUGAAAUAAGAACAUAAGAACAUAAGGAGUCUGCAAGAGGUCGGUAGAUGAACACUUAACCAAAGACCUCUGAGAAAUAUCAAUCCACAAUUCUUUUGAGGUGAAGGCUAGUGCUAUUGUGAGAGUGUGGUGGUGAAAUAAGAACAUAAGAACAUAACAGCAUAAAGAGUCUGUUAGAGGUCGGUAGAUGAACACUUAACCAAAGACCUCUAGAAAAACAUUGUCUCUAUUCUAAUAAGGUGGCGGGAAGUGCUGUUGUGAGGUUAUAGUGAAAUAUUUGAACGCUAAUUAAAGCCCUGUGAAAAAUAUUAAGCCUCUAUUUGUCUAAGGAGGUGGUUUUGUGAGUAUGGUGUUGAAAUAGAUCGAACACGAACUGACAAACUCGGAAAUAUAUUAAGCUUCUAUUUGUCUAAGGGGAAGGGAAGUGGUUUUCUGAGCAUGGUGAUGAAAUAGAUCGCACACUAACAGACGAACUCGGAAAUAUGUUAAGCCUCUUCGUAUAAGGGGAAGGGAAGUGUUUUUCUGAGUAUGUUGAUGAAAUAAAUCGCACACUAACAGACGAACUCGUAAAAAUAUUAAGCCUCAAUUCUUUAAGGUGGAGGCAUUGUGGAGGUUUUGCAAGUGUAGGAUUGGAACGAGUGAGCGCUGGAGACCUCCGACCACCAUUCCUUGCUCGUCAUCUUUGUGUCAAGCGGAAAACAAAAGUCUGUCCAUAUGUUCAGUGGUGGAAUGCAAAAGAAGAAGAAUUAUUGUUGACCCUCUCGUAAGGUGUUCGUACUGUUGUGUCCUGGUGAAGUGGGAGAGUGGAUGAGAAGUAUUUUGUGUGUUGUGUCCGUGGGAUAUAGAGAGGGAUAAGAGAGAGGGAGAUAGGGAUAUUAAAGAGGAAAAAAGAGAGAGAAAGAGAAGAGGGAAAAAAGGUAGAAAUACUGAGGGAAGGAGAGAGGGAAAAGAAUGGGAAAUAGAGAGGGAUAAUAAAGAGGGAAAUAGGGAGAGAAAGAGAAGAGAGAGAAAAGUUGGAAAUACUGAGGGAAGGAGAGAGGGAAAAGAAUGGGAAAUAGAGAGGGAUAUUAAAGAGGGAAAUAGAGAAAAAGAGAAGAGGGAAAAAGUUGGAAAUACUGAGGGAAGGAGAGAGGGAAAAAGAAUGGGAAAUAGAGAGAGAAAGAGAAGAGAGAAAAGUUGGAAAUACUGAGGGAAGGAGAGAGGGAUAGAGAGAGGGAAAAAGAAUGGAAAAUAGAGAGGUUUAAUAGAGAGGGGAAUAGAGAAAAAGAGAAGAGAGAAAAAAGUUGGAAAUACUGAGGGAAGGAGAGAGGGAAAAGAAUGGGAAAUAGAGAGGGGAAUAGAGAGUAAACAUUGAUUCUUUCUUCUUCAUUCAUUUUUUUCCCCUAUUUUUUUCCUUUUUGUUACGUGAGUUCAUGAAAAAUCCAUGAGGUGUGUUCUGGUGACGUUUUGGUGAUGUUUGACGAUCCUCACUACCAGCUUCAUAUCAUCACCAAUACCUUCAUCACCACCAUCAUUAUCACCCAUCACCAUCAUCACAAUCAUCACCAAUACCAUCAUCAUCAUCAUCAUGGAAGUAGCAAUAUCCAGCAUAGCGAAACUAGGAAUAUAUUAGUCACUAUCAUCCAAUCAUCCACCUUAUCACCAUCAUCACCACCACCGUCACCACCACCAUCACCACCUCACCCUCAAGCAAGUUACGUAUCGGUGGUAGUUACUUGUGAGCUCAGAUGGUUCGCCGAUUUGAUUAAGAGAUUAAGGUGGGGAUCUUAAUUAGUCUGAAGGCUUUAGCGCUAAUAAACUCCUAAUAUUAUGGGGUUCCCUGUAGCGUCUGCACUAAAUUGGCUUUCCGGUUACAUAAUUUGCCAGGGGGACUGAUGGAUGGGCGCUCGGGUACGUAGUAAGAGUUUUGUGUGGGACGAGAGGUUACGAAGGGGCUGAAAAUUGUCUCUCUUUGGUGUAUGUGUGUACUUAAGAGAUGGGGUGAGCUAGAUUUAUGAAAGGAAAAUUAGGAGAACAGACUUUAGAUUUUGCAACUAGAGAGUGUAGUAGAGAGUUUUUAAAGAAUGUCUGUUUAGGAAGGAGUUGUGAAAUGUCUUGUAUUGGUGUGUGUGUGUACUUAAGAAACGGAGUAAGUUAGAUUUAUGAAAGGAAAAGUAGGAGAAUAGACUGAUGUGGAGAGUUUUGGGACCAGAAAGUUUAGGAGAGUUUAGAAAAAUGUCUGUUUAGGGAAGAGCGUAGAAAAAUGUCCCAUUUUGGAAUAUAUGUACUUAAGAAAUGGAGUAAGUUAGAUUUAUGAAAGGAAAAGUAGGAGAAUAGACUAAUGUGGAAAGAUUUGGGACCAGAAAGUUUAGGAGAGUUUUGAAAAGUGUCUGUUUAGGGAAGAGCGUAGAAAAAUGUCUCGCUUUGGAAUAAAUGUACUUAAGAAAUGGAGUGAGUUAGGUUAAUGAAAGGUGAGGAGAACAGGGUAAAAAAUAGGGGACAUCAUGGGACCAGAGAGUUUAGGAAAGUUUUGAAAAAUGUCUUAAUUUGGUGUAUGCUUUGGAAAUGGAGUGAGUUAUGUAGGUAUAUGAAAAAUCAGAAGAAUAGACUUAAACAAGGAGAGAGAGAGAGUAGGGGGAAAAAGAGAGAGGGGGGGGGGUGAAGGAAAGAAAAUAGGGAAAAAAAGAAAAAAGAUAGGAGGGGAAGAAGUAGUAGAGAGGAGAGAGGGUGAGAAAGAGAAGGAGAUGUGAACCACUUCUCAUUACAUAACCAGGUGUGUUUUGAACUUGAUUGCUUAGUUAAAGGAGUCAAAACUGUUGUCUUCUAUUUUUUUAUGCGUUCACAUUCGUUUUACAUGAGGAUUACUUUAGGCUGUUAUGUUUAUCUGCCUCUCAGCUCCUGUUUCUCUCUCUCUCUCUCUCUCUCUCUCUCUCUCUCUCUCUCUCUCUCUCCCAUAUCCUCAGUAUUUGUGUUCUCUCUAUAUUAUUAUUUCUCUUUUAACUUUCUCCUAUCUGCCUCAUUUCUCUUUCUGCUUAGACUCUCCAUCAUUCUCCUCACCUCACCAUUCACUCUAAUCUCCCUCUCAUAACUAACUCUCUCCUCUCUCUCCCUCCCUUCUUUCUCUCCCCUAAUCUCCCUUUCAUAACCAUUUUUCUCCUCUCCUCUCUCCCUUCUUUCUCUUCCCAAAUCUCCCUUUCAUAACCAUUUUUCUCCUCUCCUCUCUCCCUUCUUUCUCUUCCCUAAUCUCCCUUUCAUAACCAUUUUUCUCCUCUCCUUUCUCCCUCCUUUUUCUCUUCUCUCGUCGAUCACCACAAUCAUCUUUUUUCUAUAUUACUGUUUCCUCUAUUCUCACCUGUUCUCUCCUUUUCUAUCUUCUCUCCUCACCUUCUAUCUUCUAUCUUCUUCCCUCACCUCUUCUUUUGUUUCUUCUCCUCUCUCCUCUUUAUCCUUCUACCUCUUCUCCCCUCUUCUCUUCUUGCCUCUUAUCAUGUCUCCUCUACUCCUUCCUCACUGCAACCAUCUUUUUUUCUCUCCCUUUCUCUCCUCCUCUUCUCUCCUCUCUCCAUCUCUCCUCCUCUUGCCUUCCUCUCUACCUCCCCACAAGUCUUUUUUUUCUCUCCACAUCAAGGUAGGAAGGGGAACAUUUUUUGUGUGUGAUUUACCACAUGGAGGGAGAAAGAGAUGGAGACGGGAGGUAGAGGAGAGGGAGAGGAGAGGAAGUAGAAGGGAAAAAAAGGGAGGGGGGAAAGUAGAAGGAGAGGUAGAAAAAAAUGGAUGGGGUAUGGAGGAGAAAGAAAUGGAGAGCGAAGAUAGAGGAGAGGAGAGAGAAUGUAGGGAAAAAAAAGAUGAAAGGAGGAGAGAUAGAAAAAAAGUAGAGAUGGGAGAUAGAGGAGUAGAAGAAGUAGGUUGAGAGGGAAGGUAGAGAAGAGAGGAAGUAGAAAAAAAAGAGGAGGAAGGGCGAGGGUGGAAAAGGAGAGGUAGGGGAAAAAAAAGAAAUGGGAAAUGGAGAGAAACGGUAGGAGAGAAAAGGAAGGAGGAGGGAAGAUAAAGGGAAGGAGAGGUAGGAAAAAAAAGAAGAGGAAGGGGAAGGAAAAAGAGAAGGAGAGGUAGGGAAAAAAAAAAGAAUGGGAAAUAGAGAAAGAAUGAAAUGGAGAGAAACAGUAUGAGAGAAAAGGAAGGAAAGGAAAAGGAAAAAGAAGGAGAGGUAGGGAAAAAAGAGGAAGGAGAAGGGAGAGUUAGGGAAAAAAUGAUGGGAAAUGGAGGAGAAUGAAAUGGAGAGAAAAGGAAAUAGGAGGAAAGAAACGAAGAAGGAGAGGUAGAAAAAAAAAAUAGGGGUUGAGGGAAAGGAGGAGGAGGAGCAGAUGAAGAGGGAAGGUAGAGAAAGAAAGGAAGUAGAAGGGAAAAAAAGAGAUGGGAGGGGAAGGAAAGGGAGUCCACAAAAAAAAGAUAGGAGAGGAGGAAGUAGUAGAGAGAGAGAGAGAGAGAGAGAGAGAGAGAGAGAGAGAGAGAGAGAGAGAGAGAGAGAGAGAGAGAGAGAGAGAGAGAGAGAGAGAGAGAGAGAGA